rnacentral:rRNA from 1 species
CGUCGGACCGUGUACAAGUUCCUGGAAUGGAGCGUCAUGAGGGUGAGAAUCCCGUCUUUGACCGGACUACCGAGGCUUUGUGGUGCGCUCUCAAAGAGUCGAGUUGUUUGGGAAUGCAGCUCAAAAUGGGUGGUAAAUUCCAUCUAAAGCUAAAUAUUGGCGAGAGACCGAUAGCGAACAAGUACCGUGAGGGAAAGAUGAAAAGAACUUUGGAAAGAGAGUUAAACAGUACGUGAAAUUGCUGAAAGGGAAACGCUUGAAGUCAGUCGCGUUGGCCGGAAAUCAGCCUUGCUUUUGCUGGGUGUACUUUCUGGUUGACGGGCCAGCAUCAGUUUUGRCCGGUGGAAAAAGUCCAAGGGAAUGUGGCAUCUUCGGAUGUGUUAUAGCCCUUGGUCGUAUACAUCGGUUGGGACUGAGGAACUCAGCACGCCGAAAGGCCGGGUCUUUGACCACGUUCGUGCUUAGGAUGCUGGCAUAAUGGCUUUAAUCGACCCGUCUUGAAACACGGACCAAGGAGUCUAACAUGCCUGCGAGUGUUUGGGUGGAAAACCCGGACGCGCAAUGAAAGUGAAAGUUGAGAUCCUUGUCAUGGGGAGCAUCGACGCCCGGACCAGAAGUUUUCUGACGGCCCUGCGGUAGAGCAUGUAUGUUGGGACCCCGAACCGGAAAGAUGGUGAACUAUCCCUGAAUAGGGUGAACCCGAAGGAACUUCUGGUGGAGGCUCGUAGCGAUUCUGACGUGCAAAUCGAUCGUC